AGCGAACGCUGGCGGCAGGCCUAACACAUGCAAGUCGAACGAACCUUUCGGGGUUAGUGGCGGACGGGUGAGUAACACGUGGGAAAGUGCCUUUAGGUUCGGAAUAACCAAGGGAAACUUGUGCUAAUAACGAAUGUGCCCUUCGGGGGAAAGAUUUAUCGCCUUUAGAGCGGCCCGCGUCUGAUUAGCUAGUUGGUUGAGGUAAUGGCUCACCAAGGCGACGAUCAGUAGCUGGUCUGAGAGGAUGAUCAGCCACAUUGGGACUGAGACACGGCCCAAACUCCUACGGGAGGCAGCAGUGGGGAAUCUUGCGCAAUGGGCGAGAGCCUGACGCAGCCAUGCCGCGUGAAUGAUGAAGGUCUGAGUAUUGUAAAAUUCUUUCACCGGAGACGAUAAUGACGGUACCCGAAGAAGAAGCCCCGGCUAACUUCGUG
rnacentral:rRNA from 1 species